rnacentral:rRNA from 1 species
UUGACCUCAAAUCAAGCAGGACUACCCGCUGAACUUAAGCAUAUCAAUAA